GCAUCGGUGGUUCAGUGUCGAGAAUGUUCGCCUGCCACGCGGGCGGCUCGGGUUCGAAUCCCGGCCGAUGCA